rnacentral:rRNA from 1 species
GAUGAACGCUAGCGGCAGGCCUAAUACAUGCAAGUCGAACGAGAUUAAGAGGCUUGCUUCUUAUGAAAGUGGCGCACGGGUGCGUAACGCGUAUGCAACCUACCUUAAUCAGGGGGAUAGCCCGAAGAAAUUCGGAUUAAGACCGCAUAAAAACACAGGAUAGCAUUAUCCAAUGUUCAAAUAUUUAUAGGAUUAAGAUGGGCAUGCGUGUCAUUAGCUAGUUGGCGGGGUAACGGCCCACCAAGGCGACGAUGACUAGGGGAUCUGAGAGGAUGACCCCCCACACUGGUACUGAGACACGGACCAGACUCCUACGGGAGGCAGCAGUAAGGAAGAUUGGUCAAUGGAGGGAACUCUGAACCAGCCAUGCCGCGUGCAGGAAGACAGCCCUCUGGGUCGUAAACUGCUUUUAUUCGGGAAUAAACCUUUCUACGUGUAGGAAGCUGAAUGUACCGAAGGAAUAAGGAUCGGCUAACUCCGUG